GCCCGUUGAGUUUGCUUGUGAGGAUCCAGUCAACUCUGAUAACUGUGCAGGCAAGAUGAUCAUACCCUCGAAAUCACUACUAUCUUUGCUAUGCUAGUUUGCUCGCUCUUGCUAUGCCAAUGCUAUGAUGCCUACCUUUUGCUUGUCAGCCUCCCAAUUGCCAUGUUGAACCUCUAACCCACCUUGUGCUAGCAAACCGUUGAUUGGCUAUGUUACCGCUUUGCUCAGCCCCUCUUUUAGCGUUGCUAGUUGCAGGUGAAGAUUGGAGGUCGUUCCUUGUUGGAACAUCUUUUAUUUACUUGUUGGGAUAUCAUUAUAUUGCUAUGUUAUCUUGAUGCAUCUAUAUACUUGGUAAAGGGUGGAAGGCUCGGCCUCUCGCCUAGUGUUUUGUUCCACUCUUGCCGUCCUAGUUUCCGUCAUAUCGGUGUUAUGUUCCCGGAUUUUUGCGUUCCUUACGCGGUUGGGUUAUAAUGGGAACCCCUUGAUAUUUCGCCUUGAUUAAAGCUUGUCCAGCAAUGUCCAACCUUGGUUUUACCAUUCGCCACCUAGCCUUUUCUUUCCCUUGGGUUCUGCAGACUCAAGGGUCAUCCUAUUUUAACCCCCCUCCGGGCCAGUGCUCCUCUGAGUGUUGGUCCACCUGUCAGCUGCCGGUGGCCACCAGGGGCAACUCUGGGCUGGCCUACCCGUACCUAAGACAAUCUGAGUGUGCCCUGAGAAAGAGAUAUGUGCAGCUCCUAUCGGGAUUUGUCGGCACAUUCGGGCGGUGUUGCUGGUCUUGUUUUAACCUGUCGAAGUGUCUUGAGUUACCGAGAUACCGAGUCUGAUCGGAACGUCUUGGGAGGAGGUCUAUUCCUUCGUUGACCGUGAGAGCUUGUCAUGGGCUAAGUUGGGACUCCCCUGCAGGGAUUGAACUUUCGAAAGCCGUGCCCGCGGUUAUGGGCAGAUGAGAAUUUGUUAAUGUCCGAUUGUAGAUAACUUGAACCUUAAAUUAAUUAAAAUGAAUCAACUGAGUGUGUUGCCGUGAUGGCCUCUUCUCGGCGGAGUACGGGAAGUGGACACGGUGUUGGAGUUAUGCUUGCGCAGGUUGUUCUUAUAGCUUCCCGCUCGUGCUUUGCCUCCUCUUCUCGCUCUCUUUUGCGGAUAAGUUAGCCACCACAUAUGCUAGUCGCUUGCUGCAGCUCCACAUAUAUUUGCCUUAUCCAUUCCUAUAAGCUUAAAUAGUCUUGAUCGCGAGGGUGCGAGAUUGCUGAGUCCCUAUGGCUCACAGAUACUAUAACUCCAGAUGCAGGUCCAGGUGAUUCCGCUCCAGGUGACGAGUACGAGCUCAAGUAGGAGUUCGACGAGGACUCUCAGCGUUAUUAUGUUUCCUUUCCCGAUGAUCAAUAGUGGUGCCUAGUUGGGGUUCGAUUAAAAUCCUUGUCGCAUGUUGGGUUUUCUUCUAUUUUGGCGCCGUAGUCGGGCCAUGAGUAUUUGUAUGAUGGAUGUUAUUUAUGUACUCUGAUGUGACGUGGCGAGUGUAAGCCAACUAUGUAUCUCCCCCUUUUAUCAUAUAUUACAUGGGAUGUUGUAAUGAUUGCCUAACUU
rnacentral:lncRNA from 1 species